rnacentral:rRNA from 1 species
GACGAACGCUGGCGGCGUGCUUAACACAUGCAAGUCGAACGCUGAAGCUCAGCUUUUGUUGGGUGGAUGAGUGGCGAACGGGUGAGUAACACGUGAGUAACCUGCCUCCUUCUUUGGGAUAACGCCCGGAAACGGGUGCUAAUACUGGAUAUUCACUGGUCUUCGCAUGGGGGUUGGUGGAAAGGGUUUUUCUGGUGGGGGAUGGGCUCGCGGCCUAUCAGCUUGUUGGUGGGGUGAUGGCCUACCAAGGCUUUGACGGGUAGCCGGCCGGAGAGGGUGACCGGUCACAUUGGGACUGAGAUACGGCCCAGACCCCUACGGGAGGCAGCAGUGGGGAAUAUUGCACAAUGGGCGCAAGCCUGAUGCAGCGACGCCGCGUGAGGGAUGGAGGCCUUCGGGUUGUGAACCUCUUUCGCUCAUGGUCAAGCCGCAACAAUGGUUGUGGUGAGGGUAGUGGGUAAAGAAGCGCCGGCUAACUACGUG